rnacentral:rRNA from 1 species
GACGACGCUGGCGGCGUGCUUAACACAUGCAAGUCGAACGGGAGUAUUGAAGAAGCUUGCUUUAGAGAUACUUUAGUGGCGGACGGGUGAGUAACGCGUGAGGAGCUGUCCAAUGCAGGGGGACAACAGUUGGAAACGACUGCUAAUACCCCAUAAGCCGAGAGGUAAAAGGAUUUAUCCGGCAAUGGAGGUACUCGCGUCCUAUCAGCUAGUAGGUGAGGUAACGGCUCACCUAGGCGAAGACGGGUAGCCGGCCUGAGAGGGCGAACGGCCACACUGGAACUGAGAUACGGUCCAGACUCCUACGGGAGGCAGCAGUGGGGAAUAUUGGGCAAUGGGGGGAACCCUGACCCAGCGACGCCGCGUGGGUGAAGAAAUCCUUCGGGAUGUAAAGCCCUGUUGUAUGGGAAGAGCGGAAGACGGUACCAUACGAGGAAGCCCCGGCAAACUACGUG